rnacentral:rRNA from 1 species
AUGAGCAAGGCAAAAGCACUCGUUCAGCGGUGCUUGAACUUGAAGAAAUCCACGAAUGGGUCUUGGCGUAUCCUGGUCUUGGGGAGGUCUCCGGAAAAGAACUUGGCGUCCACGGGGACAUGGAGCCAUGGUCUUGGCGUCGAGCAGGGGUCGAAGGCCAACGAGGGGCGAGGUGAACGCUGCUGUUGCCUACUAGGAGGCAAAGCAAGGCGAUCACGAGCUCGAGGCGGCACUGGGAGGACGGCGACGAGGCGGACUAGGCCGGCGAAGCAGGAGGAAAAACAGAGGAGGUCGGGGCUGGUCGUGGUCACCGGCGAGAAGCAGGGCGUGGGAGGAGGAAGGCCAUGGCGGAGAGCAGCCAAGGUCCUGCCGACGGCGUCGCUCACCAGCGACAGAGGGAGGUGGCCAUGGCGCGGCCAUCGCGGGCACGCGGCUCGUGUCCCAGCGAGGAGAUACGAGGCGCGCGAGGGCGGCGCCGGGGUGGCUUGCCGGAGCGGUGGCCUGGUUCUACGGUGGCUGGAGCGAGGCAGCAGGAGGUUGGCGGCGCGAGGGAGAGGGACGACGCCAGAGGAGGGCGAAGCGGCGCUUGAGGCUCGGGCGCGGGGCUCCUGCGUGCGAGGCGGCGGUGGAGGGAGAUGGGAUCGAGAAGAGGGCGAGGGGAGAUCGAGGCACGGGGAAGCUACUCACAUCGGGCCUUGA